rnacentral:rRNA from 1 species
AUUGAACGCUGGCGGCAUGCUUUACACAUGCAAGUCGAACGGCAGCACGGGGGCAACCCUGGUGGCGAGUGGCGAACGGGUGAGUAAUAUAUCGGAACGUGCCCAAUCGUGGGGGAUAACGUAGCGAAAGUUACGCUAAUACCGCAUAUUCUGUGAGCAGGAAAGCAGGGGAUCGCAAGACCUUGCGCUGAUUGAGCGGCCGAUAUCAGAUUAGCUAGUUGGUGAGGUAAAGGCUCACCAAGGCGACGAUCUGUAGCGGGUCUGAGAGGAUGAUCCGCCACACUGGAACUGAGACACGGUCCAGACUCCUACGGGAGGCAGCAGUGGGGAAUUUUGGACAAUGGGCGCAAGCCUGAUCCAGCCAUGCCGCGUGCGGGAAGAAGGCCUCGGUUGUAACGCUUUGUCUAGGAGAAUACUCUGGUUAAUACUCGGAGGAGUGACGGUACCUGAAGAAUAAGACACCGGCUAACUACGUGCCAGCCG